rnacentral:rRNA from 1 species
CCGAAGCUGCGGACUUGCACGUAAGUGUAAGUGGUAGGGGAGCGUUCUAAGGGCGACGAAGAUAGAUCGAGAGGACUAUUGGAGCGCUUAGAAGUGAGAAUGCCGGUGUGAGUAACGUAAGGUAGGUGAGAAUCCUACCCACUGAUUGACCAAGGAUUCCAGGGUCAAGUUCGUCUACCCUGGGUAAGUCAGGACCUAAGGCGAGGCUGAGAAGCGUAGUCGAUGGACAACAGGUUUAUAUUCCUGUACUAUUUAUAGGACUGAAGGAGUGACAAAGGAAGCUAGUAAGAGCCAUUUAAUGGAUUAUGGUCUAAGCACAAAGACUGAUACAUAGGAAAAUCCGUGAUAUCGAACGGUUGAAGUGUGAUGGCGAAGCAGUCUACGGACAGCGAAGUCUUAUGAUGCUAAACUUUUUAAAAAAGCUUCUAAAGAAAUGCUAUAAAUACCUGUACUAAGAACCAACGCAGGUGGUCAAGGAGAGAAUCCUAAGGUGAGCGAGAGAACUAUGGUUAAGGAACUCGGCACAAUGAUCCCGUAACUUCGGAAUAAGGGAAGGUCUUGAAAAAGACCCGCAGUGAAUAGGCCCAAGCGACUGUUUACCAAAAACACAGGUUUCUGCAAAAGCGUAAGCUGAAGUAUAGGAGCUGACGCCUGCCCAGUGCUGGAAGGUUAAGAUGAUUUGUAAGAUGGACGAAAGUCGAUAACAUCGAAGCAAUGAAUUGAAGCCCCAGUGAACGGCGGCGAUAACUAUAAUCGUCCAAAGGUAGCGAAAUUCCUUGUCAGGUAAGUUCUGACCCGCACGAAAGGCGUAACGAUUUGGGCACUGUCUCAACCAUAGACUCGGUGAAAUCUUAAUACCUGUGAAAAUGCAGGUUACCCGCGACUGGACGGAAAGACCCCGUGGAGCUUUACUGUAGCUUGAUAUUGGGAUUCGGUAAAUUAUGUAGAGCAUAGGUGGGAGACUAUGAGAUUAAGGCGCCAGCCUUAAAGGAGUCAUCAUUGGAAUACCACCCUUAGUUUAUUGAAUUUCUAACCUAGGACCAUGAUCUGGUUCAGGGACAGUGUCUGGUGGGCAGUUUGACUGGGGCGGUCGCCUCCUAAAAUGUAACGGAGGCGUUCAAAGGUUCCCUCAGAAUGGUUGGAAAUCAUUCGCAGAGCGUAAAGGUAUAAAGGGAGCUUGACUGCGAGACCUACAAGUCAAGCAGGUGCGAAAGCAGGACUUAGUGAUCAGGCGAUUCAGAAUGGAAUGGUCGUCGCUUAACGGAUAAAAGUUACCCUGGGGAUAACAGGCUGAUACCACCCAAUA